UCAAGAAAAUAUCCCUCAUCCCCAGAAUGUUUAUGGUAAUGGAAAAAUUUUCUCGGUAGUUCCUGCAAUUGCUCAUUACAUCAUCUCUCGAACCCAGAAAUAUAUCCCCCAUCUCUGGAAUUUUCUCGGUUAUCUGGGAAACUUUCCUCAUAGUUUUCAGGAAAAUGUGCCUCUCUGAAAGUCAUUUACCUAAGCCGUAAGUUUCCUGCAAAAUCAUGCUUUGGGAAUUAAUUUUAGAUAAAAUGUCAAUUACGGCUUUCAGAAAGUUCCAGGUUUCAAGGAUUCCGGCUAACGGAGAAGGCUGCUGUUCCUACCAGAAAUCAGUUUCAAAUGCGAAUUGAUCCUGUAACACUUGGACCUCAUUUUCCAGUUACCCUGCAAUGGAACUUGUUGUAGCUUAUCUGCAUGAUCGAGCUUUACGACGUGAACGAAGGUAUCGGGACCCUUUGGAUCCCAUAAAUGUAAGCGAUGAAAAUCUAAUUAGAUAUUAUAGGUUUCCUCGAUGUGAAAUUCUAAGACUGUGUGAAGAGUUAGAUCCAUUUUUAAGGCGUAGAACAAGAGGAUCUCAUGCUGAUUCCAUACACACGCAAGUGUUAGUUGCCUUAAGAUUUUACGCCAGUGGAACCUUUCAACAUGUACUUGGUGAUACAGUUGGUCUUACCCAAGCUAGUGUCAGUAGAAUUAUUAGAGAUGUCACUUCAAUACGAUCCUUCCAAAUGUGGCAAAAUUGUAAAUGCAUGUUUCCUUCUUCACAAUUAUUGUGUAAUGAGAAGGGUACCACUUCCCCACGACAUGGUCGACGAUGAUGGAGAGAUUGACAAUCCAGCUGAAGCUGUAGCAGGGACAGGCCAAGCAGUCCGAGCCAAUAUAGUCCGUAAUUGGUUUACUUGAUGAAUUAAAAUCAAAUAUCAAUUCACCAAUACAUUUUUCCUCUAUGUUUAAAUAGUAUUUUUUAGUGCAGUAUACAGAGGUAAUGCGAAUAAAGCGUACAUUGAUUUAA